rnacentral:rRNA from 1 species
AGAGCCCAAACCAAGAAGCUUGCUUCUUGGGGUUGUAGGACACUCUAUACGGAGUUACAAAAGAAAGUUAUAAAUGAAGCGGUCUGGAAAGGCCCGCCAAAGACGGUAACAGCCCGGUAGUUGAAAUGGCUUUCCCUCCAGAGUGGAUCCUGAGUACGGCGGAACACGUGAAAUUCCGUCGGAAUCCGGGAGGACCAUCUCCCAAGGCUAAAUACUCCCUAGUGACCGAUAGUGAACCAGUACCG